CAAGUCGAACGGAGAAUGUUGAGUUACUUAGACAUUCUUAGUGGCGGACGGGUGAGUAACACGUGAGCAACCUGCCUUUGAGAGAGGGAUAGCUUCUGGAAACGGAUGGUAAUACCUCAUAACGUAGUAAUACCGCAUGGUGAUACUACCAAAGAUUUAUCACUCAAAGAUGGGCUCGCGUCUGAUUAGCUAGAUGGUGAGGUAACGGCCCACCAUGGCGACGAUCAGUAGCCGGACUGAGAGGUUGAACGGCCACAUUGGGACUGAGACACGGCCCAGACUCCUACGGGAGGCAGCAGUGGGGAAUAUUGCACAAUGGGGGAAACCCUGAAUGCAGCGAUGCCGCGUGGAGGAAGAAGGUUUUCGGAUUGUAAACUCCUGUCUUAAAGGACGAUAAUGACGGUACUUUAGGAGGAAGCUCCGGCUAACUACGUGCCAGCCGCAGC
rnacentral:rRNA from 1 species